GAUGAACGCUAGCUACAGGCUUAACACAUGCAAGUCGAGGGGUAACGAGAGGAAAGCUUGCUUUCCUUGUCGACGACCGGCGCACGGGUGAGUAACGCGUAUCCAACCUGCCCCCAACUAAGGAAUAACCUUGCGAAAGUAAGACUAAUACCUUAUAAUUUCCUCAGAUGUCAUCUGACGAGGAAUAAAGAUUUAUCGGUUGUGGAUGGGGAUGCGUCUGAUUAGCUUGUUGGCGGGGUAACGGCCCACCAAGGCAACGAUCAGUAGGGGUUCUGAGAGGAAGGUCCCCCACAUUGGAACUGAGACACGGUCCAAACUCCUACGGGAGGCAGCAGUGAGGAAUAUUGGUCAAUGGGCGAAAGCCUGAACCAGCCAAGUAGCGUGCAGGAUGACGGCCCUAUGGGUUGUAAGCUGCUUUUAUACAGGAAUAAAGUUAGCCACGUGUGGUUAUUUGUAGGUACUGUAUGAAUAAGGACCGGCUAAUUCCGUGCCAGCCGCCACGGUAA
rnacentral:rRNA from 1 species